CUCUGCCCCGAGAGGGUUUAACACCUGGAGUUUCCGCCUGCGAUUUCUCUCUUGCGGCCCCUUGGGAAAGGGAAUGGCAGAUUGACUCUGAACUUGGCAAAGGACUUAUAAACUUAUAACGCUUUAGUAUUUAAAUGAAGGAGUGGGUCUGAAGAAGACCGAGGAUCUGUAAAACAAUCCUAUUUAAGCCUUCAGCUACCAGAGGCUGUGACAUAAACCCCAGGAAUUGAUUGAGAAGCAAUAGGUAGUUUUGAGAGCUUUUAUUUAAAGAACAAAGAUAGGAAGCUUUGCCUUGCUGUGUUUAUAAAAGCGAGGGAAGCCCCCCACCCGUAAUAUUUAGAAACACCUGGAGCCGACAAUGUUCUGGCAGCGUCCCUAAAUAAACUAAAGAAGCUGUUCACUCUGCUAUGAUCUGACAAUCUUUGAAAAAUGUUUUUCAGAGGUGGAGGCGUCUUAAAAUUUAGACAUCAAGUGAGGACACAGAAAGAAAACACAGGCCUGUAACCCAGGAAGUGGAUUUCACCGGAAACUGAAUCUGCUGACACCUUGAACUUGGACUUCUCAGAUUCCAGAACUAAGGAGAGCCCAAGAAGCUAUAUUUAAAAACAAACAAACAAAAAAAAAUGAGAUGACCGUGGCAUGCUCUUGACUUGCAGAACUACUGACUUAAAAAUAAUACCAGAGGAAUGGCCUGCUUGGAAAAUCCCCCAGUGAUGCUCUCACACAUUCAUCGUACCUUUCAUCCUUACUACGCUCUUUAUCUGGAAUAUGUUCCAAACCAUUACCUCAUCCAAGACUCUCCCAGAUGAAGGAUUGGGCCUCAGAUGUCACAGAUAAGAGGUGGUAGGUCCCAGACACAAAGCCGGACAACUGGUUCCAGACUCCAUACUCUUCACUCUGCAUUGCUGCUUAUUCCAGAACUCAGCAGUUAGUAGCUUCAAGAGCAAGUAGACUAUUCGCUAUCAUCCAGGUAUAAUAAUUUGUCGAUUGGAACUGUUUGGCCUCAAGAGGGCAAGCUUUGCAAAUUCAAUCCGGCUGAAUUGACAGAAAAAGUCCUGGAAUUCAAGACUAAUUUGCCUAGGAGUUUCCUUGAAGCAAAAGCCAUGAAGUCUCAGUCAGCAAUGUGUUGUCCGAUGCAUAUGGUUAUGGCAUUUUGAGUCAGUUAGAAUAUCAAGAGGGUUUCAAGAUUUGCUACAUAUUAAUUAAAUACGUGUUAGUGGUUGAAGAAUGAUCUAUCAACAAAACGACUUAGUCAAAAUUUCCAGACUCUGGCCCUUUGAAAACAAAACCGUGAGGCCAGACCCAGCAUAGUUGUCAUAAUUACAUAGAGAUACUCUGAAAAGCAAGAUACUGGGUCAAUCAUUUCCUUUUCCCAUCUCCCACCAAUUCUACAUUAACGUAUUUAUUGAUUCCAUCUUAGGAAUUGUUCGGGUUAAAUAUGAAAUGUCAAUGCAACCAAUACUGUUUUUACUUUCAUUAGUGUGGUGGUCAAGUAAGUCUAAGUUAAACUUCAUUAACAAAAACCCUCAAGCUGCCGUGUCUUAACCUAGAACACGUUUAUUUUUUGCUCAUGUGGAAUCCUAUGUGGAUCUGGGCGAGGCUCUAGGCAGCUGCCCACCACAUGAUGAUUGGGAUCCAUGCUGCUUCCAUGUGGUGGUGUCAUCGCCAUAUAAACUUCUGCAUCUGAAAUCGCUACACCAGAGCAAGAGAAGACUGAACAGUCUUGCACCAGCUAUUAAACACUUAACCCUGAA